rnacentral:rRNA from 1 species
GCAUAUCAAUAAGCGGAGGAAAAGAAAAUAACCAUGAUUGCCCUAGUAACGGCGAGUGAAGAGGCAAAAGCUCAAGUUUGGAAGCUCAAUGGUUUAACCAUUGCGCAUUGUAAACUGAAAACAGGAUCAAUCAGGUACACCGGGUGAUAAGUUCCUUGGAAUAGGACAUCAUGGAGGGUGAGAAUCCCGUCUUUGACCCGAGUCUAGUAUCUUUUGUAUUGGCCUGUUCAAGAGUCAGGUUGUUUGGGAAUGCAGCCUAAAGCUGGAGGUAAAUCCCUCCUGAAGCUAAAUAAUGGCGAGAGACCGAUAGCGAACAAGUACCGUGAGGGAAAGAUGAAAAGAACUCUGAAGAGAGAGUUAAACAGUACGUGAAAUUGCUUAAAGGGAAGCAUAUAAAGCUAGGAUGCGAUUGUUUUCUUCAGGUUGAGCUUUGGCUUGACUGUUCAGAAGGAUAAUCCAAGACAACAAGAAUUGGAGGAGGAGAAUAAGCCAUUGGGGAAGGUAAUCCUUCGGGAUGUUUAUAGACCUGAUGGUUCGCGCUCUUCUUUCGAUUGAGGUACGCUUUUUUUAAAGGUUGUUGUCUGAAUGGCUUUAUAUGGCCCGUCUUGAAACACGGACCAAGGAGUCCACCUAAUGUGCGAGUAUUUGGGAGGUAAACCCAUAUGCGCAAUGAAAGUGAUUUUACCUAUGAGGGGGUCUCUCGGGGCCUCUGCAAUAGGAUCGGGCAGGGACGUUUUAUACUGAACUGACUCAGAUAAAGCACAUUGGAUGGGACCCGAAAGAUGGUGAACUAUGCUUGGAUAGGGUGAAGCCAAAGGAAACUUUGGUGGAGGCUCGUAGCGAUUCUGACGUGCAAAUCGAUCGUCGAAUCUGAGCAUAGGGGCGAAAGACUAAUCGAACCAUCUAGUAGCUGGUUCCUGCCGA